rnacentral:tRNA from 1 species
UGGGGCGUGGCCAAGUGGUAAGGCAGCGGGUUUUGGUCCCGUUACUCGGAGGUUCGA